GUUUUUCGCUCUAAGAUGAGUCCGCGUAAGAUUAGCUAGUUGGUGAGGUAACGGCUCACCAAGGCGACGAUCUUUAACUGGUCUGAGAGGAUGAUCAGUCACACUGGAACUGAGACACGGUCCAGACUCCUACGGGAGGCAGCAGUAGGGAAUAUUGCACAAUGGAGGAAACUCUGAUGCAGCGACGCCGCGUGAGUGAUGAAGGCCUUCGGGUCGUAAAGCUCUGUCGCAGGGGAAUAACACAAUG
rnacentral:rRNA from 1 species